CCUGCAGGUACACUUGAAAACAAUCAAAGAAAAAAAUGUUGAGGACUUGCAUCUGAUGUAAUGACGCAUCUCCCUGACAUCACAAUGAAAAAUGAAUGUUUCUCUCUACAAAAAUCACAGGCUGGGCAAGCAGCAGCAUGUGUUGCAGAUGGCACUGAGCUGCACAUUUGCUGAGUGGCAGCCGACAGACCAAACAGAGCCUCUGAGAGUUGAGCGGAUGCGGCAGCUUUGUGUCCUAAUUUGCAUUUCUGAUCUGCAGAACACGGGGAAAUCUCGACUCUCCUGCCCAUUUGGCUGAUGGGGACUGAUAACUUUUAUUAAGAACUGACAAAUGGGCAGAGACAGCAAGAUCACACAUACCUUGUUUUGUUAGGUUAUAAGACUAAAAUCCAUCCUGGUUGUCCUCAUUUGCAGCUAGACUCAACUCACGUGCACAUCUGUGUGGAACCUUAGAGGCCCUUGGUAAUUUCUUGCUAUAAAAGGAGGAAAAAAAGAGUGCCAUGACUUAGGUAUAUAGGCUGUGGUCGUAGUUUCACAGAAAAUAAAGACUGUGUCAUUUGGGGAUUAAGGCACUAGAGUUUAACUGCUAGUGGGAUGGGUGAGUAGGGAGAGAGAAUUUCCAAGAGUAAGCCAGGGGAACUGUGGCUAAUUUAAGCCCCAGAGACACUCCUGCUUUGAGAUAUAGUGAAGAUAAAAUGCCUUUUCCUCUCCUUCUUAUAAGGCAUAUUUGAAACAGCACUGCAAUUAACUUCCUAUAUGUUGCAUUUCUCUUCUGUUGGGUCUGGUGCCCUUUUGCUCUCCUCAGUUCUUCUGAGGAGCCUUAUGCUGGGCUAAUUUAAAUAUUGAUAAUUAAACUGUUUCUGUAUUCCUCUUCCCAAAAAUGAAAGAAAUACUUCUUCCAAUUCAUCUGGCUCAGUGAAUAGAUUUUGGGUGAUGUAUAAUGUCUUCUUUAAGAGAGAAAAUGCUAAAGUAAUAGUUAUAAAUAGAUGUGCAAAAUCAUACUGGUGAAUCUCAGAAGCACUGCACUCGAGGAGAGCAAUGCAGUUGACAAGCAAUUUAAGCUACAGCGCGAAAGGAUGCAGAAAUAACGAGAUUUGCAUGAAAAAUAUUGAGAUCAUGAGAACAUCAAAUUUAAACGGAAAACUCAUGUGCCUCAUGAUUAAAUCAUGAGAGCUGACAUUACUGUUAUAACAUUCAAUAUCCUUGGCUUUUGAAAAUAGUUUUAUAAUGAGGGUGGAGUGUAUCUAUCUGUAUAGAAAAUGAGCAUUGUUUGUACCUAGCUAGCUCAUUACGAUGGGAAUCAGAAAUACAAGGCUCUCAAAUCUUAAUACAGGUCAGAAUAUCUCAGAUGCCUCCAGCUAUGGCCGAGCCCCCCCCCGCCCCCCCCCUCCCCCGUCGGGAAGAUAACCCAAAGCAAAGACAGAAACCGACCCUGCUUUCAAAUCACCCAGUCAGUCAAUCAAUCAGUGAUUAAACAGUACCGGGGG